rnacentral:rRNA from 1 species
UACGUAGGGGGCAAGCGUUGUUCGGAAUUACUGGGCGUAAAGGGCUCGUAGGUGGCCAACUAAGUCAGACGUGAAAUCCCUCGGCUUAACCGGGGAACUGCGUCUGAUACUGGAUGGCUUGAGUUCGGGAGAGGGAUGCGGAAUUCCAGGUGUAGCGGUGAAAUGCGUAGAUAUCUGGAGGAACACCGGUGGCGAAGGCGGCAUCCUGGACCGAUACUGACACUGAGGAGCGAAAGCCAGGGGAGCAAACGGG